rnacentral:lncRNA from 1 species
AACAAUGAGACAAAUAAAUUAAAUUUUCUUUUUAAUAAUCUUAAAAUAAAUAAUUAAUUAAACUAAUCCAUUAAUCAAUUAAAUCAACAACUAUAAUUACUAAUUGAAAUAAAAAUCAAGAAAAAAGGAAUAAAUAAGAUGAUGCAAAUUAGUUAUGCGGAGGUGUCAAAAACCAUUUAUGGACCUAAAACAUAACAAAUCCCAAUACUAAACUAAAACCAAAUUUUAAAACAUAUAAUAAUAAUAAUAAUAAUAAC